UUCGCAAUGCCCGAAAGGGUGACGAAGCGACGCCGCGUGCGGGAAGAAGGCCUUCGGGUUGUAAACCGCUGUCGGGAGUUAAGAAAUGCAGAGAUGUUAAUAGCGUCUUUGCUUGACUAAGGCUCCAGAGGAAGCCACGGCUAACUCUGUGCCAGCAGCCGCGGUAAUACAGAGGCGGCAAGCGUUGUUCGGAAUUAUUGGGCGUAAAGAGCACGUAGGCGGCUCUAUAAGUCAGCUGUGAAAGCCUUCUGCUUAACGGAAGAACAGCAGUUGAUACUACAGGACUAGAGUGCGGGAGGGGAGAGUGGAACUUCUGGUGGAGCGGUGAAAUGCGUAGAUAUCAGAAGGAACACCGGCGGCGAAGGCGACUCUCUGGUCCGUAACUGACGCUGAGUGUGCGAAAGCUAGGGGAGCAAACGGGAUUAGAUACCCCGGUAGUCCUAGCCGUAAACGAUGGGCACUAAGUAGAGGGGUUUU
rnacentral:rRNA from 1 species